rnacentral:rRNA from 1 species
CCUCAAAUCAGGUAGGACUACCC